CCUACGGGUGGCAGCAGUGGGGAAUAUUGCGCAAUGGGCGAAAGCCUGACGCAGCGACGCCGCGUGAGGGAUGAAGGUCUUCGGAUCGUAAACCUCUGUCAGCAGGGAAGAACGGUCACUGUGCUAAUCAGCAGUGAAUUGACGGUACCUGCAAAGGAAGCACCGGCUAACUCAGUGCCAGCAGCCGCGGUAAUACGGAGGGUGCGAGCGUUAACCGGUAUUACUGGGCGUAAAGCGCUCGUAGGCGGUAUGGUAAGUCAAGGGUGAAAUCCCCGCGCUCAACGUGGGAACUGCCUUGGAAACUGUCAAACUUGAGUGUGUGAGAGGAUAGUGGAAUUCCAGGUGUAGGAGUGAAAUCCGUAGAUAUCUGGAGGAACAUCAGUGGCGAAGGCGACUAUCUGGCACAUAACUGACGCUGAGGAGCGAAAGCGUGGGUAGCAAACAGGAUUAGAUACCCCAGUAGUC
rnacentral:rRNA from 1 species